CAAACUGAAACAUGACAGUACCCCUCCCUCAAGGGACGGAUCCCAGACUCCCAAAGUCGUCCAAAGGCUUGCCUCGCCGGGGAACGGGAACUAAAAGCGACAGCAACCCUUGCCUCGCUGGAGAACAGGAACAAAAGCGACGGCGACCUUCGCCCCGCCAGAGAACAGGAACUAAAAGCGACGGCAACCCUUGCCUUGCCCGAGAACAGGAACAAAAGCGACGGCGACCUUUGCCUCGCCG